GGCCCCGCCCAGCCCGGGCAGCCCCCCGGCGGCAGGGGUGUAUCCGGGCGGGCGGCCGCGCGGCUCCGGGAACUCGGCUCCGUCAGACUUCCGGGACAGAGGAGGCUUUUCUGCUCAAAAUCCACCAGACUCCUCCGAUGCGCUUUGCUUUUACGGUGGAAAACUCCGAUAACCAUUUCAAAAGGCACACACAGCCCUGAAAAUAAGUGAAAUUAGAACCUGCCGACUUCACUUCCUGGAGGCUUUUUGUUGGGGCUUGAAACUAGGAAUCUGUGCGGGUCAUCCUCGGACGCCCUUGAGCCCAUCACCAGCCCGUCCUCCAGCCCAGCACUGUGCAUUUUCACGUCUCCUUGCCGGGCUUCCUAUCCGUUACUUCUGCAUUAUAGGACCAACUCUUGUGAUUAUCAUCAGCUAGAGGAAAUCCAUACGUCUCCCCGGGUAACGUGAAGUCGCCAUGUUGCCAAGGACCCUAGGGAUUUUCUUCUGUGGUCAUGGUCACAGCCAAAGUCUUCUUGAAGGACACAUUUUCAUUUCAUUGCCAUAUUUGGUGGCUAAGAGCCUUCCGGUUACGUUGCUAAACGUUCAGAAUUUAAUUUGCUCGAUUCAAUGGCCGAAGAAACCCACCGACGACUGUAUGUACUCAUACAUAUGAAAUAAAUGACACGUGCCAGCCCCCGGAAGAUGAGCCAUUCCUCCUGCUAAUCUGGGGAGAUGUGUCCUGCUGGGUAAAAGACACAGGGCAUACGGUCUUCUUGGCUCCCGGACAAAAGUAUCCAUCCUUCUCUAACUCCAAAUGAAAGGUAGAAAAACACCACGGAAGGUUUUAAGAAAGGAAGCGGAGUGUUCUGCAGACCUACGAGGCGAGUCCUGUUCUUUUCUCUUGUCUCCGGGACAGAAAAUGUGAUCAAUAUCAAGAUGUUUCAUUGCUGAUACUUACAUAGAGAGACCUCAGCGCUCACCUCUCAAAACACAUGUCUUCGGAUGCCAAUUUCACCGCUGAAAGUGAGCAGAACUGAGCUGUCCUAAAGGGGGGUUAGUGGUGUCAUUGUGGGCGUUGGGAGGGUGCCCAGGCUGUGUCUUUCGUCCGUUCUCAACUGUUGCUUCUUAAGACACACACAUUCGUGCCCCAGCGUGGUGUCCAGCCCGUGCUGACACACACAUACUCUGCUGGAACGCCUUUCCCUACUAGCGGGCCACGGGCACAUCGUUUUACGACACAGGGUUGUCUGAAUGGCCAUCUUUCGAGCAGCACGCACUCUGAAGCAUCCUUCGCCACUUCAUGGGGAAAUGUAAUCAGAAGUCAGGCUGGCUGGGCGUCUAACGAGAGAGAAGCAAAGGCUUCAUUAAAGACGAGUUGUUUAAAAUGUCAGCAACGGGGGGGCACCCGGGUGGCUCGGUUGGUUGAGCAUCUGACCUCUGCCCAGGUCAUGAUCUCGAGGUUCGUGAGUU